CUUCACUUCAGCCUCUGAUUGGUUGUCUCCCACAACCAUUAUGACGUGGUGGGCCACUCCUUCCUUUAUGUAGGGUGUAAUCAAAUACCCAGUGGGAAACCUCUAAAGGAUAUUUAAGCCCCAGAAAAUUCUGUAACUAGCUCUCUUGAGCCACUUGCACAAUCCCACUCCUAGUCUGUGGAGUGUACUUUUGUUUCAAUAAUUCUAUGCUUUUAUUACUUCAUUCCUUCAUUUUUUUUGUGCAUUUUGUUCAAUUCUUUGUUCAAAACACCAAGAACCUGGACAACUCGUAGUCAAGAACCUCCACUGGUAACAUUACUAUAUGCUUGGCCCUGUUCUAAGGACUGGAGUGUGUAUGGUUAUUCACAGAAGCAGAAACAGGCUCAGAGACGUGAAAAAAUUUUCUCGCAUUUUCAGAGCUGGAAAGAAGUGGAACCUGGAUUUAAACACAGGCAACUCUAGAGCCUCAAGUUCCACUAUGAUCCUUAUUAGAACAUUAAAACGUCCAACACAAAGAAAUGAUACAUGUUUGAGAUGUUUGCCCAGAGCCCUGUGAGACUCUGGGGACACAAAGACAAAUGGCGUCUCUAGCACGAAGCAUGCUGGAGCUGGGAAGUUGGUGAGGAAGCAAAUCAUUUCAGUGCAGCCCAGGGACACUAUAGUGAACUAUGAGGGCACCCAGAGGACAGAGCCAACUCUCUGGAGGAACUUGGGUGCUAGCCAAGGUUGAGCUUCCGGCAUUGACCCUAUGUCAACAAAGUUGAAAAAUAUGGAA
rnacentral:lncRNA from 1 species